UACGUAGGGUGCGAGCGUUAAUCGGAAUUACUGGGCGUAAAGCGUGCGCAGGCGGUUUUGUAAGCCAGAUGUGAAAUCCCCGGGCUUAACCUGGGAAUGGCAUUUGGGACUGCAAGGCUGGAGUUUGGCAGAGGAGACUGGAAUUCCUGGUGUAGCAGUGAAAUGCGUAGAUAUCAGGAGGAACACCAAUGGCGAAGGCAGCUCGCUGGGACGGUACUGACGCUGAGACGCGAAAGCGUGGGGAGCAAACAGG
rnacentral:rRNA from 1 species